rnacentral:rRNA from 1 species
CCUACGGGCGGCAGCAGUGGGGAAUAUUGCACAAUGGGGGAAACCCUGAUGCAGCGAUGCCGCGUGGAGGAAGAAGGUUUUCGGAUUGUAAACUCCUUUUAUCAGGGACGAUAAUGACGGUAUCUGACGAAAAAGCACCGGCUAACUACGUGCCAGCAGCCGCGGUAAUACGUAGGGAGCGAGCGUUGUUCGGAAUUACUGGGUGUAAAGGGAGCGUAGGCGGGACGGCAAGUCAGAUGUGAAAACUGAUGGCUCAACUUUCAGACUGCAUUUGAAACUGCUGUUCUUGAGUGAAGUAGAGGUAAGCGGAAUUCUUAGUGUAGCGGUGAAAUGCGUAGAUAUUAGGAGGAACAUCGGUGGCGAAGGCGACUUACUAGGACUUUACUGACGCUGAGGCGCGAAAGCGUGGGGAGCAAACAGGAUUAGAUACCCGAGUAGUC